rnacentral:tRNA from 1 species
GGUGACUUUUGAGGAAUGUGCUGCUGCUUUGGGAGCAGGAUGCCGCAGGUUCGAAUCCUGUCACUCGGACCA